UUUACAGUAACAUUCUUCUCAUUCUGUGCUGGUAUAAAGUGAGUUAAAGUGAGCUUACCUGUAUGAAGGUUAAUGUCAGAUAAAGAACUACAGUUACAGAAGUAAAGACUGUGUGAAAGAAGAGGGGAAAAAGAAAAUGUGUGUG